rnacentral:rRNA from 1 species
UACGAAGGGGGCUAGCGUUGUUCGGAUUUACUGGGCGUAAAGCGCACGUAGGCGGCUCGUUAAGUCGGGGGUGAAAUCCUGGGGCUCAACCCCAGAACUGCCUUCGAUACUGGCGAUCUCGAGUCCGGAAGAGGUGAGUGGAACUCCUAGUGUAGAGGUGGAAUUCGUAGAUAUUAGGAAGAACACCAGUGGCUAAGGCGGCUCACUGGUCCGGUACUGACGCUGAAGUGCGAAAGCGUGGGGAGCAAACAGG